rnacentral:lncRNA from 7 species
GUGUACCUUUUCCAUGAGAAAACUGGAUGCCAUCCGAAAUUCAAACCCAUGGACGGUCGAUUUCGAGUGAGCGAUGGCGGCCAGGUGCAGCUUGCUUGAAUGCUGCUGCUGUGCUGAGAGACGGACGGAUGGAUGGACGCACGCAGUAGACUGGUCGUACAUUCUCCGUAUGCACCUGCGGACUGCGUGCCUUGCAAUCAUCGCGCUGCAGUAG